CCUUAGUAACUGCGAGUGAAGCGGCAAAAGCUCAAAUUUGAAAUCUGGCGCUUCCGGCGUCCGAGUUGUAAUUUGUAGAGAUUUCUUCGGAGUGAACACCGGUCCAAGUUCCUUGGAACAGGACGUCACAGAGGGUGAGAAUCCCGUGUCUGGCCGGCUGUUUCAUUCCAUGUGAAGAGUCUUCGACGAGUCGAGUUGUUUGGGAAUGCAGCUCAAAAUGGGUGGUAAAUUUCAUCUAAAGCUAAAUAUUGGCGAGAGACCGAUAGCGCACAAGUAGAGUGAUCGAAAGAUGAAAAGCACUUUGAAAAGAGAGUUAAAAAGUACGUGAAAUUGUUGAAAGGGAAGCGCUUGAGACCAGACUCAAUUUAUGGUGAUCAGCAGUCCUUCUGGGCUGUGCACUUGCCAUUCUUUGGGACAGCAUCGGUUCUGACCGUGUGAUAAAGGUUCAGGGAACGUGGCUCCUCUCGGGGAGUGUUAUAGCCCUGGGCGUAAUGACAUGAGUUGGGACCGAGGACCGCGCUUCGGCUAGGAUGCUGUCAUAAUGGUCUUCAGCGACCCGUCUUGAAACACGGACCAAGGAGUCUAACAUCUAUGCGAGUGUUCGGGUGGAAAACCCUUGCGCGUAAUGAAAGUGAACGGAGGUGGGAACCCCUCGGGGUGCACCAUCGACCGAUCCUGAUGUCUUCGGAUGGAUUUGAGUAAGAGCAUAGCUGUUGGGACCCGAAAGAUGGUGAACUAUGCCUGAAUAGGGUGAAGCCAGAGGAAACUCUGGUGGAGGCUCGCAGCGGUUCUGACGUGCAAAUCGAUCGUCAAAUUUGGGUAUAG
rnacentral:rRNA from 1 species